CUACGGGUCGCAGCAGUGAGGAAUUUUGCGCAAUGGGGGAAACCCUGACGCAGCAACGCCGCGUGAGUGAUGAAGGCUUUCGAGUCGUAAAGCUCUGUCAAGUGGGAAGAACCUAUUAAGUGCCAAUACCACUUAGUACUGACGGUACCACUGAAGGAAGCACCGGCUAACUCCGUGCCAGCAGCCGCGGUAAUACGGGGGGUGCAAGCGUUACUCGGAAUUAUUGGGCGUAAAGGGCGCGCAGGCGGCCAGGUAAGUCAGGUGUGAAAGCCCGUGGCUUAACCUCGGAAGUGCAUUUGAUACUAUCUGGCUUGAGUAUGGGAGAGGGAAGUGGAAUUCCUGGUGUAGAGGUGAAAUUCGUAGAUAUCAGGAGGAACACCGGUGGCGAAGGCGACUUCCUGGACCAAUACUGACGCUGAGGCGCGAAGGCGUGGGUAGCAAACAGGAUUAGAUACCCGCGUAGUC
rnacentral:rRNA from 1 species